UUCCGGUUGAUCCUGCCGGACCUGACUGCUAUCGGAUUGAUACUAAGCCAUGCGAGUCAUUGUAGCAAUACAAGGCAUACGGCUCAGUAACGCGUAGUCAACCUACCCUAUGGACGGAAAUAACCUCGGGAAACUGAGAAUAAUAUCCGAUAGAACAUUAUGCCUGGAAUGGUUUAUGUUCCAAAUGAUUUAUCGCCGUAGGAUGGGACUGCGGCCUAUCAGUUUGUUGGUGAGGUAAUGGCCCACCAAGACUAUUACAGGUACGGGCUCUGAGAGGAGUAGCCCGGAGAUGGGUACUGAGACACGGACCCAGGCCCUAUGGGGCGCAGCAGGCGAGAAAACUUUGCAAUGUGCGAAAGCACGACAAGGUUAAUCCGAGUGAUUUCUGCUAAAGAAAUCUUUUGUUAGUCCUAGAAACACUAACGAAUAAGGGGUGGGCAAGUUCUGGUGUCAGCCGCCGCGGUAAAACCAGCACCUCAAGUGGUCAGGAUGAUUAUUGGGCCUAAAGCAUCCGUAGCCGGCUCUGUAAGUCCUCGGUUAAAUCUGUACGCUUAACGUACAGGCUGCCGGGAAUACUGCAUAGCUAGGGAGUGGGAGAGGUAGACGGUACUCGGUAGGAAGGGGUAAAAUCCUUUGAUCUAUUGAUGACCACCUGUGGCGAAGGCAGUCUACCAGAACACGUCCGACGGUGAGGGAUGAAAGCUGGGGGAGCAAACCGGAUUAGAUACCCGGGUAGUCCCAGCUGUAAACUAUGCAAACUCAGUGAUGCAUUGGCUUGUGGCCAAUGCAGUGCUGCAAGGAAGCCGUUAAGUUUGCCGCCUGGGAAGUACGUACGCAAGUAUGAAACUUAAAGGAAUUGGCAAGGAGCACCACAA
rnacentral:rRNA from 2 species